CCUACGGGUGGCAGCAGUGGGGAAUAUUGGGCAAUGGGCGCAAGCCUGACCCAGCAACGCCGCGUGAAGGAAGAAGGCUUUCGGGUUGUAAACUUCUUUUUUGAGGGACGAAGAAAGUGACGGUACCUCAGGAAUAAGCCACGGCUAACUACGUGCCAGCAGCCGCGGUAAUACGUAGGUGGCAAGCGUUAUCCGGAUUUAUUGGGUGUAAAGGGCGUGUAGGCGGGAAAGCAAGUCAGAUGUGAAAACUCAGGGCUCAACCCUGAGCCUGCAUUUGAAACUGUUUUUCUUGAGUGCUGGAGAGGCAAUCGGAAUUCCGUGUGUAGCGGUGAAAUGCUUAGAUAUUGCGCAGAACUCCGAUUGCGAAGGCAGCAUACCGGCGGCGAUCUGACGCUGAGGCACGAAAGCGUGGGUAUCGAACAGGAUUAGAUACCCCUGUAGUC
rnacentral:rRNA from 1 species